rnacentral:lncRNA from 1 species
CCUGCAUCUCAGGCACGUGACGGUGUCCCCCCCGCCCCGCUCUCCUGGACAGCGUCCCGGCAGGUCCCGGGGCACCUCGGUUCCCGCGUGGCGCCGGCUCUCGGGGGCUCUCAGACGCGCGUCCUGGCCGUCCCGGUCUGUCCGCGUGCAUGGCUCCCGGACGCGGGCGCUCAGCCUGAGGUCUCCUCAGGGCUGGCGCGCGACGGGGAGGGGCGGUGACUACUGCAGAUGCCAUCCGAGCGAGCACACACCUAAAGAAAGAAGUACAUCACUCUGCAGUUUCAGAAGAAAGCAUGCCUGUCUGUAUCAGCUGUCCGUGAUUUCCACAGGAGAAGCUUCCAAAACAAAAAUCUGCUUCCAUCUGGAAAGGCCUUUCCAGCUUGGCCAUCUGCUCCGUGAGGGGAAAGCCUGAUGCUUCUUGAGCCCUUGUAAGUGAGCGUGUUGUUCAGUCAGGCCAGCCUCUGCACUCAUGGCAGAAAGAGAAACCACAGCUGGGACUUCAGACUAGAACAGAUGCAAAUGCUCAACUGAUAGAUACCAUCUGGCAGCCUGGAAAAGCUCCAGUGGAGGAGAAGUGAACUCAGGUAUGCUCAAAGAGGACAGAGCAGAUUGGAAUCCAGACUCCAGCUCCCAGAUGCUGGAGGGUGCUUGCUGGACCCACAGAUGGAGAAGCUGGCAUGGGACGUCCUGGUCUGAGCUGCAGGAGGAGGGCAAUGCCACUCCUGGCCUUCCCCUCAUGGCCUGCUCUGACCCAUGUAAUGGACCUGAAACAUAAUUUGGAAAACCGGCAUGGUAUCACCAGAACUGGACUGGCCGCUGCUUCCAGCAAGGGCAGAGCCACCUUCCUGCCCCUCAGUACAGACCAGGACCACUGGGGCCACCAGAGAUCACUCACGGGAGGGCUGAGACCCAGCCAGCCUGCCAUGGUUGACAGGUAUCCCGGGCUGGGCUAGCUCUGUGCAGGGCAGUCAGGCCUUGCUCUGCAGGUGGGGUUUCCUCGUGCUUAGGAACCCCUGAGCUGACUGGCCUGACACACCGGCUACCUUCUUGAACCUGCCACCUCUUGCUCUUGAAGGGGUCCCCCCGCCCCCACCCCAGGCUGGCUGGGCUCUCUCUAGGCCAGUGUCAAUCUCCUGAACUGAAUGAGUGAGUGAGAGCCACCCACUGUACAGGCAGGAGAGAGGCCUGAAUUUGCCCAGGGCAGCCAGGGGCUGGGCUCUCCCAGGCACCUCCAGCAUCUAGCUGCUCUGCCCACAUGGAUCUCGCAGCCCCAGCUUGGCCACCACGUCCUGCCCAGGCCCUGCCCUACCCUCGCCAGCACUCCCCACCCCAUCCAGGAUGCUCAACUCAGCAGUCCCUUCCUGGCCUCUCCCUGCCUCCCCAGAGACCCCCUGGGCAGGGGCCCGGCCUCUCUCUGCCAGUGGUGCCAGGCCCCCUGCUCCUGCCCUCUUCUG